rnacentral:misc_RNA from 1 species
UCCAAACCAACAUUCUAUCAGUGAAAAAUAUAGCAAUAAUUUAUUUGAAUUUAGUGACAGAAAGGAUGAUUCAAAGAAGGAACAUCCAAUGGGUAGUUGUAAUUUUGGGGUUUAUUGCUAGUCAAGUGGAAUCCCUUCGAUUUGAUCUGCAAUCUGGUCUCACUAAAUGCAUAGCUGAAGAUAUUAAGAGCCAUGCCAUGACUGUAGGCAAGUACCAAAUUGUGAACCCUAAUGAAGGUUAUCCUUUGCCUGAUACUCACAAAGUCACUGUCAGGGUGACAUCUACAUAUGGAAAUACCUAUCAUCAAGGGGACAAUGUUGUUGAAGGGCAUUUUGCUUUUGAGGCAGCGGAAGCUGGGGAUUACAUGACUUGCUUCUUUGCUGCUGAUCACAAGCCCCCUGUAACUCUUUCUCUCGAUUUUGACUGGAGGACUGGUGUAGCUGCUAAG